rnacentral:rRNA from 1 species
GACGAACGCUGGCGGCGUGCUUAAUACAUGCAAGUCGAACGGAAUCCAUGAGACCUUCGGGUCUCGGAAGAUUCAGUGGCGAACGGGUGCGUAACACGUGAGGAACCUGCCCCGGUCUUCGGAAUAACAAAUGGAAACAUUUGCUAAUACCGAAUGCCGUCGGAUCAUCGCAUGGUGAUCCGCCGAAAGAUUUAUCGGAUCGGGAGGGCCUCGCGGCCUAUCAGCUUGUUGGUGAGGUAACGGCUCACCAAGGCGACGACGGGUAGCUGGUCUGAGAGGAUGAUCAGCCACACUGGGACUGAGACACGGCCCAGACUCCUACGGGAGGCAGCAGUAGGGAAUCUUGCACAAUGGGCGAAAGCCUGAUGCAGCAACGCCGCGUGCGGGAAGAAGGCCCUAGGGUUGUAAACCGCUUUCAGUAGGGACGAAAAUGACGGUACCUACAGAAGAAGGUGCGGCCAACUACGUGCCAGCCGCCGCGGUAAAAC